rnacentral:rRNA from 1 species
CCUACGGGAGGCAGCAGUGAGGAAUAUUGGUCAAUGGACGAGAGUCUGAACCAGCCAAGUAGCGUGAAGGAUGACUGCCCUAUGGGUUGUAAACUUCUUUUAUAUGGGAAUAAAAUGUUCCACGUGUGGGAUUUUGUAUGUACCAUAUGAAUAAGGAACGGCUAACUCCGUGCCAGCAGCCGCGGUAAGACGGAGGAUCCGAGCGUUAUCCGGAUUUAUUGGGUUUAAAGGGAGCGUAGGUGGAUUGUUAAGUCAGUUGUGAAAGUUUGCGGCUCAACCGUAAAAUUGCAGUUGAAACUGGCAGUCUUGAGUACAGUAGAGGUGGGCGGAAUUCGUGGUGUAGCGGUGAAAUGCUUAGAUAUCACGAAGAACUCCGAUUGCGAAGGCAGUUCACUGGACUGCAACUGACACUGAGGCUCGAAAGUGUGGGUAUCAAACAGGAUUAGAUACCCGAGUAGUC